UCACAAAAAGCAAACUUCUACUAUUACAAACAUCUACUAUUCACAAAAGAAUCUUCCCAAGAAAAGAGAAGACAAGUCUUGGACUUUUGUGAGAAAUCAAGGAACCCUCCAUUGAAGAUCCAAGUGUGGACAAGUGAUGACCUAGGCUAUAAAUAAAGGGGUAAACCCUCCAUUUUUGUCCACCACACUCCAAACACUUUAAAGAACUUUCACUCAUCAACUUGAGAUCUCCAAAGUGUUCUUGCUUCCAAGCUUCCAAAAGUUCUCAAGUGUUUUAGCUUUUCAAAGCUUCAAAAGCUCUCCAACUUCUACUUCUAAUCUUCUUGAUCAUCUUUACAAGUAAGAAGUUUUGUGUGCUUAUUAUUUCACUCCUCUAAUCAUCUCUUGUGUAUGUCCACUUUGGUUGAGAGGUUUGUC
rnacentral:lncRNA from 1 species